GUGCAUGUAUACUAUACAAUGCUAUUGAACACCUAUAGGUGCAUGUAUACUAUACAAUGCUAUUGAACACCUAUAGGUGCAUGUAUACUGUACAAUGCUAUUGAACACCUAUAGGUGCAUGUAUACUGUACAAUGCUAUUGAACACCUCUUCAGGGAUGACAUCAUUCAUCUCCGUGCUCUUUAGGAAUGACAUCAUUUAUAUGUAGACUAAAGAGCAGUUCAUUGUCUUACUUCAGCUGGCGUGAUGGCCGUCUGCACUGAGCUGUCUGAGAACUCGUAAACACUCAUGGGACAGCUUAAAAAGAAGUCUGGCUGUCCUAACAUUCCAUAUGCUGUCCUAACAUUCCAUAUGCUGUCCAAACAUUCCAUAUGCUUUUCAAACAUUCCAUAUGCUGUCCUAACAUUCCAUAUGCUGUCCUAACAUUCCAUAUGCUGUCCUAACAUUCCAUAUGCUGUCCUAACAUUCCAUAUGCUGUUCAAACAUUCCAUAUACUGUCCUAACAUUCCAUAGAGCAGGUGGGAGAGCAGGUGUUAUAGACUGUAGACCAGGUGUUAUAGACUGUAGCCCAGGUGUUAUAGACUAGAGAGCAGGUGUUAUAGACUGUAGAGCAGGUGUUAUAGACUGUAGACCAGGUGUUAUAGACUAGAGAGCAGGUGUUAUAGACUAGAGAGCAGGUGUUAUAGACUGUAGAGCAGGUGUUAUAGACUGUAGAGCAGGUGUUAUAGACUGGAGAGCAGGUGUUAUAGACUGGAGAGCAGGUGUUAUAGACUGUAGAGCAGGUGUUAUAGACUGUAG
ensembl:lncRNA